CCUACGGGAGGCAGCAGUGGGGAAUAUUGCGCAAUGGGCGAAAGCCUGACGCAGCGACGCCGCGUGAGGGAUGAAGGUCUUCGGAUCGUAAACCUCUGUCAGCAGGGAAGAACGGUCACUGUGCUAAUCAGCAGUGAAUUGACGGUACCUGCAAAGGAAGCACCGGCUAACUCCGUGCCAGCCGUGGCGGGAAUACGGAGGGUGCGCGCGUUAAUCGGAAUUACUGGGCGUAAAGCGCUCGUAGGCGUUAUGUCAAGUCAAGGGUGAAAUCCCCGCGCUCAACGUGGGAACUGCCUUUGAAACUGGCAAACUGGAGUGUGUGAGAGGAUAGUGGAAGUCCAGGUGUAGGAGUGAAAUCCGUAGAUAUCUGGAGGAACAUCAGUGGCGAAGGCGACUAUCUGGCACAUAACUGACGCUGAGGAGCGAAAGCGUGGGUAGCAAACAGGAUUAGAUACCCGUGUAGUC
rnacentral:rRNA from 1 species